rnacentral:lncRNA from 1 species
UGUGUUUGACAAGACCUUCGGACUUGUGCCUACGUACCAACAUAAAAAUGAGGGAUCAAAACCUCGUAGUUCGUGGUAACAAUUUCAAGAUGAGUGGAUUUGCUUUUAACAAAAGUUUGAGUUUUAAAAGAGGCACAAAAGGUCUAAAAGAGAUUGAAUGAGUGUUAGUUAUUUUUGUCUUUUGAAAUUUUAAGUCAAUAUGGUUAAGUUAAUUUACAAGUUUGAUUUAAG